ACGGCCGACAUGAGCGGCCUCCUGCUCGGGUCGCCCUCGACGCAGAGGAGCCCGACGUGGAUGCAGAGCAAAGCCUCCUCCUGCGAGCAGCUUCCUGCGAUGGAUGGAUCCACCAGGCCGCCUGCCUUUCCUUCCCUCCACAGACUAUGAGGCUUGGAAACUCCAUGAUGUCAUCAGGAGAGCUUAUCCUGACACCGCUCACGAUCUCCAGGAGCAGCACGCCGAAGCUGUAGACAUCGGACUUGACAGAGAAAACGCCCUCCGUAGAGUAUUCAGGAGCAAUGUAACCACUGUCCAGUGUCCCCACAAAGUUUUCAGAAGACGUGCCAGAAUUUUGUCAAAUGCUAAAAGCUAACUACAGCUUAAAAAGCAAAAUCUAUUUUUUUGUUUGUAAAUCUAGCUUCAGUAUUCAGAGUACUAACAAUGUUCCGACGACUCGCUUGGUGUUGGCAUUCUGCUGGUUGUCGCAGAAGAUCUUGGCCAUGCCGAAAUCCGCUAUCUUGGGCCGCAUCUCAGCAUCCAGCAGCACGUUGCUUGCCUUGAGAUCUCGGUGUAUCACUGUCAACCUCGAGUCCUGGUGGAGGUAGAGGAGCCCCCUCGCGACGCCCUUGAUUAUCUCCAGCCGCGUCGGCCAAUCCAGCACCGAUUUCCUUUCACUAUCUGAAGCAAAAAGAUCACAUGAGACCGUCAGGAAUCGUAUCAUCAUUUUCUGUUCUUUCUUUCUUCAGUAACUUGCUUGAGUUCUGAACAUAUAUACAUACCGAAGAGGAUGGCGUCCAGGCCUUUGUUGGGCAAGUACUCGUAGAUGAGCAACUUCUCUGCUCCUUCCGUGCAGCAGCCGAGGAGACGGACCAAGUUUCUGUGUUGCAGUUUGGCGAUCAGGAUGGCUUCGUUCUUGAACUCUUCUGUUCCUUGGUCAGAAUCCUUGCUCAGUCUCUUGACAGCAACCUCUCGACCGCUCUCUAAUGUCCCCUUCCGAAUGAUACAUGAAACAGGCGAGAUCAUGAGUAUAAUUCAGUAUUUCAGUGCA